UGGGGAAUAUUGCGCAAUGGGGGGAACCCUGACGCAGCCAUGCCGCGUGAAUGAAGAAGGCCUUCGGGUUGUAAAGUUCUUUCGGUAUUGAGGAAGGUUGAUGUGUUAAUAGCACAUCAAAUUGACGUUAAAUACAGAAGAAGCACCGGCUAACUCCGUGCCAGCAGCCGCGGUAAUACGGAGGGUGCGAGCGUUAAUCGGAAUAACUGGGCGUAAAGGGCACGCAGGCGGUUAUUUAAGUGAGGUGUGAAAGCCCCGGGCUUAACCUGGGAAUUGCAUUUCAGACUGGGUAACUAGAGUACUUUAGGGAGGGGUAGAAUUCCACGUGUAGCGGUGAAAUGCGUAGAGAUGUGGAGGAAUACCGAAGGCGAAGGCAGCCCCUGGCAUCAUACUGACACUGAGGUGCGAAAGCGUGGGUAGCAAACAGGAUUAGAUACCCUGGUAGUCCACGCCGUAAACGAUGUCUACCAGUCGUUGGGUCUUUUAAAGACUUAGUGACGCAGUUAACGCAAUAAGUAGACCGCCUGGGGAGUACGGCCGCAAGGUUA
rnacentral:rRNA from 1 species